rnacentral:rRNA from 1 species
AUGAGUGUAGAAAUCCUUGAUGGCAAGACCGUCCAGAGCUUCGUCGAGGACGAAGGCGCCUUCCACUCAUCCGUGGACAGCCGGUUUGCGGCCCUCGACACCAACCAUGAUGGCCUGCUGUCGUACUCCGAGAUGGCCCAGGAGCUCAUGAGCCUCAGGGUUCUUGAGAAGCACUUUGGCGUUGAUGAGUCCGCCAUGAGCCGUGGUGAGCUUGUCGAGCUUUACCGUGGCCUGUUUGCGAGGUUCGACCGAGACGGCAAUGGCACGGUGGACCUUGAGGAGUUCCGGGCUGAGAUGAAGGAGGUGAUGCUCGCUGUGGCUAACGGGCUCGGCUUCCUGCCGGUGCAGAUGGUGGUCGAAGAAGGCAGCUUUCUGAAGGUGGCUGUGGACCGGGAGCUGGCCAAAGCAACUUGA